rnacentral:rRNA from 1 species
AACGAACGCUGGCGGCGUGCUUAACACAUGCAAGUCGAACGGAAACGCCCUGCAUCUUGCUCCCGGUCUAACGACCAACGGACGAGUAACAUAAUGACUGGCCUGCCGUUGGAUGUAGGAUAACUUCUAGAGACUGGGGCUACUACCACAUAAUAACUCCUGCUGACUGGUGAGGGGUUAGCAUCUUUCCUCUUGCUGGUCGAAGGACUCCCGACUUAACUACUUGUUAGGGGGGGAAAGGCUUAACCUAGGUUACAAUGCCAACCUGGCCGAAAAGGAGAACCGCCCCCUUGGGACUGAAAUCCCGCCCCAAAUCCCAACGGAAGGCACCAUGGGGAAUAUUGGCCCAUGGGCCGAAACCCGAAUCCACCCCUCCCCCUGGUGUAUGAAAGGCCUUCGGCUGUAAACCGCUUUCGCCUGUGACAAGCGUGAUGAACUUAAAUCGUUCAUCAAUCACCGGUUAUCUACGAUGAACCCCCCGCAACUAUCCGUACGGCGCCAGCGUUGUCCGGAUUUAUUGAGCGUAAAUCGCACUUACUGGGUUGAUCGCGCCCGAAGUGUAAUCUUGGGGCUUAAUCCUGAGCGUGCUUUCGAUACGGGUUGACUUGAGGAAGGUAGGGGAGAAUGGAAUUCCUGGUGGAGCGGUGGAAUGCGCAGAUAUCAGGAGGAACACCAGUGGCGAAGGCGGUUCUCUGGGCCUUUCCUGACGCUGAGGAGCGAAAGCGUGGGGAGCGAACAGGCUUAGAUACCCUGGUAGUCCACGCUGUAAACGGUGGGUACUAGGUGUGGGGUCCAUUCCACGGGUUCCGUGCCGUAGCUAACGCUUUAAGUACCCCGCCUGGGGAGUACGGCCGCAAGGCUAAAGCUCAAAGGAAUUGACGGGGCCCCGCACAAGCGGCGGAGCAUGCGGAUUAAUUCGAUGCAACGCGUAGAACCUUACCUGGGUUUGACAUGGAUCGGGAGCGCUCAGAGAUGGGUGUGCCUCUUUUGGGGUCGAUUCACAGGUGGUGCAUGGCUGUCGUCAGCUCGUGUCGUGAGAUGUUGGGUUAAGUCCCGCAACGAGCGCAACCCUUGUUCACUGUUGCCAGCACGUUAUGGUGGGGACUCAGUGGAGACCGCCGGGGUCAACUCGGAGGAAGGUGGGGAUGACGUCAAGUCAUCAUGCCCCUUAUGUCCAGGGCUUCACGCAUGCUACAAUGGCUGGUACAGAGAGUGGCGAGCCUGUGAGGGUGAGCGAAUCUCGGAAAACCGGUCUCAGUUCGGAUUGGGGUCUGCAACUCGACCUCAUGAAGUCGGAGUCGCUAGUAAUCGCAGAUCAGCAACGCUGCGGUGAAUACGUUCCCGGGGCU